CGGACAGAGCCGGCGUAUCUGGCCUGUAUUCAGCCACGGGCUUGCUGUCGUCAUGUGUACCCGUCUCCAGACUGGAACGGUGCGCUGUCUGGCGGCAGGUUUGUGGUGCAUUUGCAGGUGGAGUGCGCUGAGGCGUUCGGUGCAGCGGUAUGAGCUCGGCUCAGAGGCCAGCCCAGCAAUGGGUCUGGAACCGGGGCCGUGGGAGUGCUGUUUGCGCUGGAUGUACGCUGUGGGCGAUGGUUUCGGGCUUGGGUGGGCGCCGAGCUGGGGGUCGGCGGCGGUCGCGUGCGACACGUGCCAGCACUCAGUUCGGUCCUGCUCGAGCUCACAAGCGCCUGUCCUCGGUGUAAAAGCCGGUCAUCUGUCCGACCCGUCUUGAAACACGGACCAAGGAGUUUAGCGUGUGCGCGAGUCAAUGGGCGUUGAAAACCCAGAGGCGCAAUGAAAGUGAAGGCAUCCCUUGUGGAGCUGAUGUGUGAUCCUGGCCACCACGGUGUGCCGGGCGCAACAUGGUCCCGUUCUGAUCGCUUGCGAUGGGGCGGAGACAGA
rnacentral:rRNA from 1 species